AGAGAGAGAGAGAGAGAGAGUACAUACUCUCUUAUGAUGUCAUAUGUCUUUUAGAACUUCAGGAGGUUAUCUCAGAAGGUAUUUAUACUUUCAUUCUGCACUAUGAAAGCCAUAAGUAUUCCUUAACUAUGUAAUUUGAUUUACUGGAUCUGCUUUGACAAAUACAGAACUUGCAUGGAACAAGUCUAUCUCAUUUUGAAGAAAGGAGAUACUUCGGGAGGAAUAUACCAUGAGAACAAUACACAGCUGCUGCUGUAUAGAGAUAUCUAAUUGUCAAUAUUGUGGAAUUUCUACAGCUUAUUACUUGCAUUCAGUCUAAUUCUGGGCAAAUUGCCAGUCACUUCAGGGAUGUUCAAGUGAGCCAUAAUACACGUGAUUCGACAUCACAGCUUUAAGAUACCCGACUGUUUUCCCUCUGGCCAAGGAAUGUGUGUACCAAUGCUACCAAGUGAAAGGGAAGAAUCUGAUGACAAAUAAAAUAAAAUUUGUAUUUUUUUUUCAAGUGGGCUGCAUUUCAAGCCCAGAUGUUAGUAAUGAAAGAUUCAAUUUAAGGAUUUAAAUUACAAAUAAAUAAAGUAUGAAACAGA